rnacentral:rRNA from 1 species
GACGAACGCUGGCGGCGUGCUUAACACAUGCAAGUCGUACGGUAAGGCCCUUUCGGGGGUACACGAGUGGCGAACGGGUGAGUAACACGUGAGUAACCUGCCCACAACUUUGGGAUAACGCUAGGAAACUGGUGCUAAUACUGGAUAUGUGCUCCUGCUGCAUGGUGGGGGUUGGAAAGCUCCGGCGGUUGUGGAUGGACUCGCGGCCUAUCAGCUUGUUGGUGGGUAGUGGCCUACCAAGGCGGCGACGGGUAGCCGGCCUGAGAGGGUGACCGGCCACAUUGGGACUGAGAUACGGCCCAGACUCCUACGGGAGGCAGCAGUGGGGAAUAUUGCACAAUGGGCGCAAGCCUGAUGCAGCACCGCCGCGUGCGGGAUGACGGCCUUCGGGUUGUAAACCGCUUUCAGCAGGGACGAAGCUUUUUGUGACGGUACCUGCAGAAGAAGCACCGGCUAACUACGUG